CUACAGCUGACUAACCUUUUUAGUGACUUCCAUAUUUCAUCAUUAAUUUCUUAGGCACUUGGGGCCUUGAUAUCGAUGGUCGCUACGAAACAUGGAAACUUACCCGUAAAUUGUUGAAGGAUUACGCCGACGAGAUGAAGCAGCGGAUCGGGAAAGAACGAGAGGAGGCUCAGCGUAUGUAUGAAGAGACAGCGAAAAAGAUGACUGAAGAGGAGCACACUAAAUACAUCGAAGCGCUUACUGCUAUGGCCAAAACAC